UUUCACAGAAGGUUAGAUCUGUAUAGUAGAGAGAAGAGAGACUCUCAAAUCAAGACAUGAGGUCAGAUUCCAGCUAUAUGACCUUGGAAAACAAUCUCUUAAUCCUUCCUUACCCUUGAACAUCCUGGUCUAUACUAUAAGCUUUCAACAGAGGGUAUUGCAAACUGCAGAACAACGCUUCAACAUCAACUUGAUUGAUAAUAGGCUGGUCAUCUUUGGGGGAUUAUGGCUUCUCUGAGGAUAGGAACAUCUCUGUACAUUGGGUCUAGAACCUUAAGCAGGACUUGCCUAGUAUUUACAGAUGUCUCACUGAAAACACAUCAGUUUCACUGGAUCAGCCACAGGCAUCAGCUCUGUCUGGUGGAGAUACUUUAGAAGACAAGCCAAGAUGCAGCAACUCACAGCUGGCUCUCGUAGAUGAGAGCAGAAGACAAGAGGGAGUCCUAGAAGGGCCUAUGGGGUUUUGAAGAUCUGGGUGUUAAAGACACAGGAGGCUACAGAGGAGUGCAGAGGAAGCAUAGCUUAAAGCCAGUAAUCUUACGUCACUGUAUGACCACUCUAAAAUGAUGCUCAUUGUGGCUACUGUCACCACCAGGACUGCAUGUGGAGAGAAGAGCGACAUGGAGGGCUAUGAGCAGCUGCAUUUCCACAGAUGUUCCU